UUUGGUUUUCAAAUACAAAUGGGAGUUGAUAUAACAAAAGACUCGAUAUUAUUAUACAAGACUUAAAAGUAAAAGACAACAUGAACGACAAACUCAAAACAUAAAAGUAUCUUUAAGCAGCUCCCGAAUGCAAUGGUCUUGGGGUAUUUGUCAAACUCGAGCACCGGUAUACUGAUCCAUACCUGAAUAAAAAAAUAAAACCAAACAGAUUAAAUGACUAAAGACACUAUGUGAGGCCACAUCACAUCCUAUUGGACACAUGCAAGUCACAAAUAAGGUUGUUUUUGCAGAAAGGCUUGCGUCGCCAAAAAUGUCUGAAAGUGAAAAACUCAAUAAGGAAACACCUCAGAAAGGUUUACAUGGCCCUAAACAUCAAGGAAUUAUAACCUCUAAAGUUACUUUGCAAAAAUGACAAUAUUUUGCAGGCCUAUGUGGCCAAAAAUGGUUAAGCAUGCAAAUUCAACAGGAAUGGACCUUUUAACAAAGUGGAGACAACUAAUUGUGGAUCUGGACUCUCCAGACACGGUUCAACAACCACUUCGCAAAAUAGCCCUAUUUUGCAACAAGGCUGAUAUGGCUAAAAGUGGCUAGACAUGCAAAAUUUGGCUAAGAUCCCGCAAAGCCAAGAACUUAAAACUCACUAGGAAGAUCGAACCAUAUGUGAUUUGCCUACAUAUCCUGUCCCGAGAGGCGAGAAUCAUGUAUGCGUAGUUCGGGAAGAUUGGAUAUGGAAGAAAACUUAAAAAAUGACACUAAUUUGGAAAAAAAUAUAUUGUCUUUUUGAAAAUGAUGAAAAUGUAAAUCCUUUUGGAUUUUCUUUUUCUUUUUUUUUCUUUUGAAUUUUAGAAAAUGAUAGAAAAAUGUAAAAUCUUUUUGGAUUUUCUUUUUUUUUUUCUAAUUUUUUGGAAAAUGAUGGGAAAGUGGAAAAUCUUAUUUUGGAUUUUUCUUUUUCAAAUUAGUCUUUUCUUGAAAAAGUUGUGAAAGAAAAUCAUAAUUGGGCCCUCGUUGCUUCAUUUUUCUUUCCUAAGCAUUAGUCCACCAAACGACUUUUUUACCCUCAAAAAUGCAACAUAUAUCAUAUAGGGAUGAGUUAAAUGCCUUUUUGAGCCACGAGCUCAUUUUUACAAAAUUUGGAUAUGCCUCCUACAAAGGGACACGUACCUGGGACCGAGCACGGUUAGGUCUAAAUGACAUGAUGUAAUUAAAAAUGACCUAAUUGCUGACCUAAGUUUGAGGUUCGCUAACAAGGCAAUUCGGGGAAGCAUAUAGUCGAUGGCGGUUGCUCAAGCUUUCCACCCACUCCAUACGUCUGAUGGCCCCCCUCCUAAAAUAAGGGCGACUCAACAAAGAGUUCGUGCAUGCAACGCGUACUCCGAGACUUGUUGAAGAAAGAAGAUACAUAAUUAUGCAAAUGAUGACAGUUUAUAAACAAAUAACCAACAAAACAAGGAAAUACGACAAACAAAGCAAAUAAAGAAAACAAAUACCUCAACAGAAUAUCCUAAAAGUCAACUAGACCAAGUACCAUCUCGAACCUACAAGUCUCCAAGUGAAGUCGCUAGAGCUGUCAUACCCCUUUUUGUACAAACCUCACUAACCCUCUUAAAAUAAGUAAAAGUGAUUUUUGAAGCUCAAAAGGGUUUUCAAAUUAAAAAGUGACAAAAUUGUGUUAAAAAAGGAAAUAAUUCAGAGCCGUUACCUGACAUUGGUUUUGGUGUACCAGGUCAUCGUUUUUAAUAUUUUUCCUUUAAAGCACUUUGGACUCCAAAACUAAGUCUGCCUUCGCAUAAGGGGGUUCAUUUGACUCUGAGAGAAAGUAUUAGGCACUCUCCAAGUCCCGUGAAAACUACGGUUGCAUACUCAAUCUAGUUGGCUUUUGAAAUAUUCAAAUUGAAAUAAAACACACAAAAAAGAAAAUAAACAGCCAAAGAGGCUCGAGGUUGUCCCUACCUAACAAAAGAAAACAAAACAAAGUAAAAUGAGCCCUACUAGCCUAUACUACACCUCCACUGAUGAUGCCACGACCUCUAUUUACAUGAUACUACAGGGUAUACUCACGGAUAAAAAUAUACACAAAUCUUUCGGGGCAUUCCACAAAUAAAUUUAACUAAGGGAGAGACCUCUCACCUCAAAACUAACAAAAAUCCUAAAGCUUUUCGGCCUAGUCAUGCUUCUAUCGUACAAUUAAUCCUAAAGCUUGUCUCGCCUCAAAGUAGAGUCGGCCUAGUCAUGCUACUAUCAUACAAUUACUGAAAGCAAAAUACUAAUAUUUUUAAGCUGAAAUCAUCUUUUGUUUUAAUAGCCAACUCCAUUGCCCAAUUUAUCAAAUCAGCCCAUGAACAACAACUUUCGCUUCCUAGCUUAAUCUUUAUUUAACAAUCUAAAUCACAAUGAAAUUUGAAACAUUAAUAACCAAACAAAAACUACUCCAGUAACUCAAUAUUAACCUAUACAUUAUAAACUCUAAAACUAACACUAAAUUCAUAAGAAACUAAUACGAAACAUCAAAUGCAUGCAAUUGGGUAUACUAACAUCAAAUUGGAAUUUCAUUCCAUAUCAAGAUACCUAGGAGGAACAGUGAAAAUUAAUUAAAAUACAAAGUUAAGAAAUGGGCCUCAAUAAAUGCAAAAUCUCCAAUACUAGCCAACUGACCAGAAAAAUUGAUUGUGAUUGGAAUAAAAUGAUUAGAGCUAAACCCAGACCUUAAACGAAUCACCUGUAAAUCGUAUCAGCAUCACCGACACUGGCAUGGAGGAGUCCGAAUAGAGAAAAACGCAGCAAAGAACAGAAGCAAAUGGCAUUGUUCCAUGAUUCGCGAUAGAAAAGAGAGCGAGAACUAAAAUUCAGAGUAUCAAAGAACUGCUAUGGACGAAAGUGAAACUUUGCAUAGUGAGUUGACUGGUUAGCUUCCAUUACUAACACACUGUCUUUAAGAGAAAUUGCUACAAUAAUGAAAAGAUGAAUAGAUUUUGAUUGUAAGCAUGUGAAAGCAGUGAACCAACAUAUUUACAAUUCUUUGAUGUUCCUUCUCUUUUUUUAAGCUUUCACUUUGUUUUUCAGGUAACGCCGGCCGCGGCGGCUGGCUAGUAGGAAACGACAAAAGAACUAGCAGGCAGCGGAGGGGAUCUAAACGGCGGCGAGGAAGGUGAAGAAGGAGAUCUGGUUUAUUGCUUGGGGUGCGGCUGGCGGCUGGUUAUUUUUAGUUUUUGGGCGUGCUCCAGAUGAAUAUAAAGAAGCAGGAACCGCUGAAGCUUUUGGAGAUCCCAUAUUUAUUUCACUAGGAGAUGGGAUCAACUGUUCCCUUCUUUUGGAUGGAGAAGGUCUUCAUGGCUAGUCGAGGUUUUUCUUUUGAGAUUCCAGUUCUUUAGUGUUCUCUUUAGAUGAAAAAGAAGGUUAAGGUCUUGUUUUUUGGGUGCGAGUGACGGCUGGGAGCUAGCUGAGGGUAUUUAGGAUUCUAGGUUGAAGAAGAUGAUGGCUGGACCUUGGAGAGGAGACGGCGGCGGCUGGCGUGUUCAGGGGUGUUCUCCAGGGUUAGGUUUUAGGAUGUAAUUAUGUAGAUAUUCGUAGGUAAGGAUUAGUAAUGAUCAUUGGAUGAAAGGGAGUGGAUAGCUAGGAUUAAAUUAAAAAGAGCUGAUAGGUUAAAGGGUGUUAGGCUUUAUAUUUGGGUCUUAAAGUUUGAACUAAAAGAAAAAUAUCCAAAUCUUAGCUAAAUAUCUUUUAAUAUAAACUAAAGGUAUUAUAUAUUGCUAAAAAAAUCUAUCUAAUUAAUUAAACUUAAUUAUAUAUAAAAUAUGAAACUAUUUUUUUUUAUAUUUUUCAAAUGUCAAAC
rnacentral:lncRNA from 1 species